UUUUUCUAUGUAUCCAAAAUUCCCUUUCCCCAGCUAUUACCGCAAAUGGGAGCAGCUGUCAUGGCAUGUCUUGGUCAUGUGGCAGACCCACCUGUGGGACUGCUGGCACAAAGUAGCCACCAGCUGCAGGCUGGAACUGAUUCA